AUGGAAUUGAAAUAGAAUUGACCCCAAACCUGAUAUGAGUUAUGAAGAGCUCCGUUGUUUUCCCAGGUUAGAGAGACUGAGUCACUACUCACUACUAAGCUAGGGGAUUCUCUGUGGUCCCGUAUUAGUACCUGGAUAUAUCUGCUAAGGCAUCAGAGUGCCCUGCCAACCACCAGACAGACUUACUGAAGCCAGGCGGUGUACUAGUCUCAGGGGCUGUGCUGCCACCUAUAGGCAGACUGCAGACUGCAGCAUAGCACGCAGCUCCGGGAGCGUGGUGGCGUCAAGUCUAAACCUAACCCUUCACCUACAGUAACUCAUGUUGUGAGGGUGAGUCACGAUGAGAGGAGAGGAUGCCCACCUUGAAGGAAGGUGGUUGUAAAGAUGCAAUCUGUGGUUUAAUUUCUAGUAGAACAUUUUGAAAAAAGGAUUGUUCUGGCAGGAUUGAGGGGGAGGAUCUCUACAAGGAGACUGCGCACUGAACUGCUGAAAUGGAACUACAUUGGUGUGUGUGUGUGUGCGUGCGUGCGCGUGUAUACUUAAUGCAACGUAAUCAGAAACUAGAAGAAACAGAAAGAGUAGUGGAAUGUGUCUCAAGAAUAGUCUGAAUUUGAUCCGAUUUCUUUUGUGAGAUGAAGAAACAUAUGAUGCACAUUCUUCCGUUGGUUUUAUUUCAUCUACUGCCUGUCUAAGACAGAGGAUACAUUAUGUAGAACAAGUACAGCAUGUCUUAGUGUGGUGAUGAACAGUGCGUGUGGAAUCUUUCCCUAAUGGUUAUCAUCACUGACGCAGGCAGCUCUCUGAAUAGGAAGUGUGUGGAACUACAGUUUUACUACUACUGGCACUAGAGAGUCAUGGUGCAAUGCAUUCUGUUGCGCCUUGUGACGUAAGCGCUGGUUGACUGUGGUGCGCGUCGUUGAGUUCCAGCGGCAGCAGAUUACACCGACUUCACAACUUCACCGACAACAUCACAAUCGGUGGUUACGUCUGACAAGCAUGUAUGCUAAGACAGUGAGGUGCUCUCUAAGACAGGGAGUGAUGCAACCAUAGAUGGGAUAUUGCCUGUGGGUGUAACCAUAAUAAUAUAGUGUCCUGUCUUCUAUUUCUACGGGUGGAAGAGCAGAGAGAUCACUGUAGGCUGUAGUACCGCUAGAGUCUGCCAGGGGGCAGCAGAGCACACACAAAGCGCAUGUUGUCGUGUUGAUAUUGAGUAUUGCAUCAUGAGAACUCGGGAACAGUCCACGGUGUACCCAGGUUCUACAGACCUCCUCCCUCGUUCUAUCUGCCUCCUCUGUCUCCUUUGACAGUGUAUCUAUGGCCCCCUCUUCAUCCAAUGGAGGAAUUGUGUCAAGGAGUAUUCCAAGGAAGUUGGUCCCCAUAUUGAAGUUGAUAAACGGCAUCCUAAAAACGAAACGGUUAUUUUAUAUGCAAUGUAUGUAGAAUGAGAUAAAUCUGCAACAUAUAAAGGUAGAUAAACAUACAACAUGCCUAGAUAUAAUUACAUGGUAUAUAGAUGACACGCACACACAGAGAUAGAUGAAAAUACCACGCAACAGACUACGAGGUAAACAAAGACGAGCGUCGAGGUUCAUUGCCCUGCUAUAGUCCUGUUAUAGCUAUCACUGCUAUCCGGUUUAUAUCCUGUAUUAAUGUUCUGUCCGUUACUGUUAAAUCAUGUCACUGUCCUUUUCUAUUCAGAGGCCACGCAGGGCACAGUGAACGACAGAAGGCCCAAACAUAUCUGGACUGGUAUGUAGCAGCAUUGGUUCAGGGAGGCGUGCGACUUCAGGCCAGACAGGAUAAAUGGUGGGCAGAAAGUGACCACAGCUCCAGACUUUCAAGUGCUGCCUGUUGCUUGUUGGCUCUGAGCGGUUUACACCUCAAGUGGUUGAGUAGCCGGGGGAAACAACACAACAAGCUAAGUUCUCUAUUGAUUUAUUACUCAACCUAAAGUCUUUAUUACUCAACCUAAACACCAAAGACAACUAGGAAAAGUCAAUUCAACUGUACUGAAGAAAAAUAUAAACGCAACAUAUAAAGUGUUGGUCCCAUGUUUCAUGAGCUGAAACAAAAUAUCCCAGAAAUGUUCCAUACUCACAAAUUUUGUGCAAACAUUUUGUUUACAUCCCUGUUAGUGAACAUUUCUCCUUUGCCAAGAUAAUCCAUCCACCUGACAGGUGUGGCAUAUCAAGAACCUGAUUAAACAGCAUGAUCAUUACAUAGGUGCACCUUGUGCUGGGGACAAUAAAAGGCCACUCUAAAAUGUGCAAUUUUGUCACACAACAUUAUGCCACAGAUGUCUCAAGUUUUUAGGGAGCACGCAAUUGGCAUGCUGACUGCAGGAAUGUCCACCGGAGCUGUUGCCAGAGAAUUUAAUGUUUGUUUCUCUAUCCAACGUCGUUUUAGAGAAUUUGGCAGUACGUCCAACCUGCCUCACAACCGCAGACCACGUGUAACCACUCCAGCCCAGGACCUCCACAUCUGACUUCUUCACCUACGUGAGCAUCUGAGAUCAGCCACCCGGACAUCUGAUGAAACUGACAAUUAUUUCUGUCUGUAAUAAAGCCCUUUUGUGAGGAAAGCACUCAUUCUGAUUGUCAGGUCCUAACUCCCCAGUGGGUGGGCCUAUGCCCUCUCGGGCCUAUGCCCCCCCAUGCCCACCCAUGGCGGUGCCCCUGCC
rnacentral:lncRNA from 1 species